rnacentral:lncRNA from 1 species
CCGCCGCUAUUACCACCAACCAGGUGAUGAAAUGUACAACCCGUACUCUCCUUCAUGCCACCAACCAGGUGAUCAAAAGUACACCCAGUACUCCAAAUUAUACAUGAGCAUUACUCAUGUCAUUCAUACAUAAACAUUCAUGAACAUCACUCAUGACAAUUAUACAUAAACAUUCAUGACCAUCAUUCAUGAGCAUCACUCAUGUUAAUAUUCAUGAGCAUCACUCAUGACAACAUCCAUGAGCAUCACUCAUGACAACAUCCAUGAGCAUCACUCAUGUCAAUCAACAUAAACAUUCAUGAGCAUCACUCAUGUCAAUUAGCUUCAAAAGCUUCAUUUACAGAACUCUAGCUUCAAAAGCUUCAUUUACAAAAGGUCCAACUUCGAAAGCUUCAUUUACAGAAAUCUAGCUUCAAAGUUUCACUUGCAAAGCUUCACCUACAAA